GAAAUUAUUUUCGAUUAUUUUUGUAUUCAUAUUUAUUUAUAAACAAUAGGUUAUGUUCGUAUAUCUUGAGUAUUACUUCUUCAAUUUUCUACUAACUUGGAUCGAACACCUUAUAUACGUGCUGUUCACGUAUCUGUCUUUAUAUGUGCAUCGUGGAAAUCUACUAUUGGCAAACAGGCGUAUCGAUAAAA